rnacentral:misc_RNA from 1 species
UUGACCUAGUUCAUGUAGAUGUUUAGGGACCUUAUCAUGAAGAGUCAAUUACAGGAGCUAAAUUUUUUCUCACUAUAGUUGAUGAUUAUUUUAGAGCUACCUGGACUUUUAUGAUGCAACAGAAGGCCCAAACUACUAGAGUUAUAAGGAAGUUUUUUCCCCUAGUUAAGAACCAAUUUGGAAUCAACAUUAAAGCCAUAAGAACUGAUAAUG